CACCGACACCGAGUGUGACAGUGUGUGUGUGUGUCUCUCCCUGUUCUCUGUCGCUCAGUCUCUGGCUCCCUCCCCCUCGACUCUGGUCCGGUCUCCCUUAGCGCGCGCGCCCGGCCCGCUGCUGACUCCGCCUCUAGGGAAGGCCGGCCUGAGCUGGGGGCCGGCCGGCCGGCGGCGGCGAGCAGGUGUGGCUGGCAUUGUAGCUGGUCGUCUCCUUCGACAAGGAGACUCGGCGACGUCGCGCAUCGGACUGACUCGUCGCUCUCUGUUCGUCGUUCCAGUCGUCGGUACCCCCUCCAGCGCCGCCUCGACAUGUGGGUCCUACCGUGGUAGCUGUAGUUCCCGUUGGGCCGGGAGUUCUUCCUGUGGCCGUUGACCGCGCGUACGGGGAUGUAGGAGCGCUUGCUCACGACGCUCGCCGACCGGAUAAUGCCGUACUCGUGGUUGGAGCAGUUGAAGUACUUCCUGGCCUACCCGUACCGGUUGCGGCGGCGGCGGUUGUUGCAGUGGUUGACCCCGCCGUGGACGAUGUAGUGCGGCGAGUAGCCGCGGAAGGAGCGGCUGCGGAUGGAGCCGGCGAAGACCUGGUAGCGGAGGAAGUACUAGUAGAUGUAGAAGCCGGAGCCGGACGAGUGGUACCGGUGGAGGCACGUGCCGGAGCACGGGCGGACGCGGAGGUUCCCGCAGACGCUGGGGUGCGGCCCGGUCAGCCGCCGCCAGAAGUAGCGCGAGAUGGAGUAGCGCGAGCCGUGGCCGCCCUAGUUCGGUACGCACAGCAGCAAGCCCCGGCUGGUCAAGCUGCUCGUGCUGCUGCACCUCGCGUUCUCGUUCUCGAGCAAAAAGUUAACCAAGAUGAAGAGGUAGUUGUAGCCGCGCGACCACCGGAGCAGGCAAGACCACAUGCACGUCUGCGUACAGCCCACCUCGACCCCGAAGCCGUAGGGGCGGCAGCAGUACCGGUAGCGGCAGCCGUCGAAGAAGCAGCCGUGCGGCGAGAUGUCCGUGGUCGCGGGGCCGCCGUCGGGCGAGUGGGCCGCGUCCACGAGCAGCGGCGGUGCGCGUUCGAGCCGCAGGGGCAGCUGCCCAGCCGCGACAUGCUCUGGCGCCUGUCCCUCAGGCCGUAGCUCCCGUCGGCGUUCGACCUCGUGUGCCUCGUCAAGUCCAAGGAGCUGUUCCGCCGGCACCUCUGCGUCCGCCUGUUCUGCCGGUGGCCCGGCAGCGGCACCGCCGACACGUGUCACUGCGUCCACCUCCUCGAGUUCUCGCACCACGCCGACGACGGGUAGACCCGCUCGCCGUAGCAGAAGCGGUGCCACAUGCCCGUCUACUCGUGGUACAAGCACGACGUCCCGUUGUGGGACCUGCGGAGGUACCCCGGGUUCAAGUUCUAGGGGAGGCGGAGGGAGAGGUAGAAGCUGUGGGAGUCGCAGUAGCGGACCCACGGUCAGAUGCUGGCGUAGGAGCAGGGGCGGCACGCGAGGCAGUGGCCGGCCGGGGCGCCGAAGUGGGUCGAGGUCGCGUACCCGUAGCCGGAGCAGCAGAGGUACAAGCGGUACGAGCGGCGGCCGCACGAGCUCGAGCAGGCGGAGGCGUGGUAGCGCGUCGCGCCGGAGAUGCCCCUCGUGCUGCAGCACGGGUAGAGGUAGAAGACCGUCCACGGCGUCAUGAAGUAGUAGCCGCGGCGGCUCCACAAGUGGAAGCACCCGGUCGAGCUCAAGAAGAUGCUGGUCCGCGGGCUGCGGUACUCCUCGUACACGAGGCGCGAGAGGGAGUGGUGGCAGCGGGAGCCCUUGAUGGAGUCGUGCGAGGAGCAGUGGCAGCACCGGUUCGAGUGGUGGUCCCCUCCGUUCGUUCCCACCUAGGGGCUGUUGGAGUUGCAGCCGGUGGAGCUGAUGAAGAAGACCGACGAGCGGCGGGAGUCGGAGGAGUUGAAGCGGCAGAUGGAGGAGUAGCGGUCGACCAUGUGGAUGUUCUUCUGGCGGCCUCUACUAGUGGGUCUGCGGUAUCGGUUUCCCCCUCGAGUACUAACUACGUGUACUGGUCAUUUAUUCACUCACUGAUACAGACGCCAACCACAUACUUACAACUUUCGUCUUCUUCUUUCGUUCCUAACUCUCAAGCCUAUCCACUUUAAUUCCCUCCUGUUACUUUACGUACCACACUAAACACUGAAGUUCUAAGUCCUCACAACGGAACAACUAAUUAUAUGAUCACAGAACCUUUUUAGACCGUCUUUUUACAAUUCUACAAUACAUGAGGG
rnacentral:rRNA from 1 species